CUGGCUGAGUCAACAACCUAGACUCGCCUCUGCCUGUAGAAGUAUUCUCCCGUGAAGCCCUGCUCACCACUCGCUUUGGGGGACCUGAGCCAGUCUCCUGGCAGCCCUGUCUAGCUAGCUUGAGUCCAGACCAGCCUUUGGAUGAACCACCAUAUUACUCAGGCUUGCUGGUAGUUCUGCAGCCACCCCUUCCCUGCUUCAAUCCUGGUCACCGCUGGAUACCGCUCUACUUCCUCCACCCCUACUACCUGCUCCAUUCCUCGUCCUCUCCUUGGGAUCCAGUACCCGUGUGCUGCAAGGGACGGCCGUGUGUAAAGUGGAUGGGCGUGGUAUUGGCGCUAGAGCAGCUACCUCUGUAAGUGGCGACCAACGUCCAGUGGCGACCAACGUCCAUAUAGUUCGUGUGUUGGAGAAGGAGUGCUCUUCUUUCAUUAAAGUGGUGCUUUGUUAUUGUGCCUGUGUUUUCUCCACUCUCUGCGGCUCUGGUAGAGAAGGCCACAUCCCUGGUUUUUAGUGGAAGGCAGUGUUUAUUUUCAUAUCUUGAGUUACCUGCCUCAAGCUUCCACAAGUGACGACCUCGCCAGGAUUGUGCCUUCUCGACCCUCUCUUGUUGAGUAUGUGGAGUGCUAAGUCAUCGUUGGGGGACAGGUAGUGUUGCCUUCCUCGGCUCAUUGUCCAAGGCUCGGAAGUGAGUAAUUUUUUUACUGUUGGUUUGUGAGGGCUUGUUUCUAAUUAGUUGCGUUUUUAAAGCCUUUAGUUAAGGUCUUGUGGUGUUGUCAGGUGUGGAGUUUUCUCCUCUGACGUAUGUAAUUUUUCUAUUGCUUCCUUGGGUGUCCUUUAUUCAUGGAUUAUUUUGGUUCCUUUGCUGUGUGUUCUUGGGUGUUGUGUUCAUCAUGCCUUCUAUCAAGGAGCUAGUUGAGUUGGGAAUCGAAAUGGGACUCGAGAGUGACGAGGUACGCGAGUUUGUUUCUACUCAACAAGCGUUGCAACGAGAUGAACGACAAAAGGAACGAGAAAGUGCGUGAAGAAAAGGAAAGAGACUAUGGCCUUUCAUGUCCGAAUUAAAGCUAUUCCCCGUCCUUCUCUACCAGUCUAUCAAGAUGAACUGACAUCCUACUUCACUCGUUUUGAACGCAUUGCUGCCCUGCUCAACAUUCCUCAGGACAACUACGCCAUUCGACUGGGUGGUCUUCUCUCUGGUAAGCUAGCAGAAAUCUGCACUACUUUGGCUGAUAAUUUGUGACUACCCUAAACUUAAAUCCUCUCCUUAAAACUUCAAUCAGUCCACUGAGCACUAUUGCCACACGUUUUUUUCUCUCCGGAUCAAACCUGGUGAGACAUUCCAGUAGUUUGCCACCCAACUUGGCCGGUAUUUUGACAACUGGAUAGAUACUUGUGAAGUGGGGGAAUGUUAUCAAACUCGGAUAUUUUGUAAUUGUGAACCAGUUUCUUGCCUCUAUUUCUCCAGAUAUAAGGACGUGCAGACCUUGGACGACGCUGUCAAACGUGCAGAUAUUUGGGCAGCUGCCCAUCAUGCUUACCCGAAACACGCCCCAGCUGGACACAAGAAGCCGACCUACAUCUCCAACUAAGCUUCUUGCCGAUCUCCUCCACCGGCCAGGAGGUCUUCCACACCCGUAAGGUGUCACAUUUGUGGGGAGCCAGGACACAUUCGACCUCUGCUACAGUGAUCCUACUACUCUUCUCUACUUUUCUUCUGGCACCAUCAAUGGAGCGAGAGUAUCUACCAUCAUACGUGACACUGGCUGUUCCUGUGUCAUUGUAUCUGAGGAAGUCUUACCCGAUGUAGACGUAUCUGAGGAAGCCUUACCCGAUGUAGACGUCUCCCAGUGUCCUGUUCGUGCUCCAAUCAAGUUCUCAUUCAAGUUCUGUAGUGUUCUGGUUGGUAAUGUGGAAGGAGUGAGCACACCAGACGAGAACGUGAAAAAGGCUAGUCUGCCUCGGCAUUCUUCACCUGCAAAAUUCGUGUUCCUCCCUUCAGGCUCUCCGUCGUAAGGCAUCAAACUGGUGAACAAGAGAUAACUCGCAGUGGUUGGAGGUAACUCGCAGUGGUUAGUUUUCCUGUAGAGUUUUCUGAUGAACUACUCUACCGAGUGUGCCGUUCUUCUAGCAACCAAGAACAAGUGCGGAAAGACGUUGGUCAUCCCUGCAGUGUCGUCGCCUGGUGCUGUCUCUUACCCAUGAGAGUCCAAUGUCAGGACACCUCUCCCACAAGACUAGAGGUAAGGUUUACCACCACUUCUAUUGGCUUGGGGUAGGAGCUGACGUCACAACUUUUUGUAAGUCUUGUGAUAAAUGUCAACGUAUGUCGGCAAAAGGAAGAGUGCGCCCUGUACCUUUACGGCCCCUACCUAUCAUCACUGAGCCGUUCUCAAGAGUGGCUAUUGACAUCGUGGGUCCCUUGUCUCCACCAUCAUCUGAAGGCCAUUGUCACCUAAUUUUAAGUGAUUUUGCAACCGGAUUCCCAGAAGCCGUACCUCUCCAAGAAAUAACAUCUAUUGCUAUUCCAGAAGCCUUGUUGUCUAUUUUCUCCGUUCCACUCCACCGUUCCACUCCACUCUGAAGGCGUGCUUCCGGAAACUGUGCUCUGAAAAACCGCGUGAGUGGCACCGUUAUCUUCCUGCCACCUUGUUCACUUUAAGGGAGAUGCCAAGUGACCGGACCGGAUUUCUUCUUUUGAGCUCCUUUACGAACACAUCGCUGCCCUCAAGUCCGUACUUUGGCAUCUUCGAGAACACGGCCUCACUGCUCGAGUAUCGGAGUGUCGAUUCGGGUUCGGAUCCAUCCAGUAUCUGGGCUUCAUUGUGGACGGCUUCCUCCUACACAAGUUGUCUGUCUGACCCCGCCCCCCCCCGCAAGGGCGUCACCGAACCACUAGUCUGGACUGACGAACAUAUGGACUGAGGAACAUCAGAGGAGUUUCCAACAUCUUAAAGCAGUUCUCCAGUCUGCACCCAUCUUAAGACUACCGGAUUCCAUUCGUCCUUUCGUGCUACGAACGGACGCUUCAAGUCAUGGGCUAG